rnacentral:rRNA from 1 species
CAGAGCCGCGGUAAAACAGAGGGUGCAAGCGUUAAUCGGAAUUACUGGGCGUAAAGCGCGCGUAGGUGGUUUGUUAAGUUGGAUGUGAAAUCCCCGGGCUCAACCUGGGAACUGCAUCCAAAACUGGCAAGCUAGAGUAUGGUAGAGGGUGGUGGAAUUUCCUGUGUAGCGGUGAAAUGCGUAGAUAUAGGAAGGAACACCAGUGGCGAAGGCGACCACCUGGACUGAUACUGACACUGAGGUGCGAAAGCGUGGGGAGCAAACAGGAUUAGAUACCCCUGUAGUCCCUGUCUCUUAUACA